rnacentral:rRNA from 1 species
GCGGUAUGCCUAACACAUGCAAGUCGAACGAGAUUCUUUUUUUGUUUACAAGAGAAUGAUUGCAGUGGCGGACGGGUGAGGAACACGUAAGAACUUACCUUUUGGCGGGGGAUAACAACGGGAAACUGUUGCUAAUACCCCAUAAUGCUGAGGAGCGAAAGGGAAACUGCCAAGAGAGAGGCUUGCGUCUGAUUAGCUAGUUGGAGGAGGUAAAUGCUCCCCAAGGCGACGAUCAGUAGCUGGUCUGAGAGGAUGAUCAGCCACACUGGGACUGAGACACGGCCCAGACUCCUACGGGAGGCAGCAGUGGGGAAUUUUCCACAAUGGGCGAAAGCCUGAUGGAGCAAUACCGCGUGAGGGAUGAAGGAUCGUGGUCUGUAAACCUCUUUUCUUAAGGAAGAAUAAAUGACGGUACUUAAGGAAUAAGCACCGGCUAACUCCGUGCCAGCAGCCGCGGUAAUACGGGGGGUGCAAGCGUUGUCCGGAAUGAUUGGGCGUAAAGCAUCUGUAGGUGGUUUUUAAAGUCAACUGUUAAAGCCCAGGGCUUAACUUUGGAAAAGCGGUUGAGCACUUAAGGACUCGAGUAUGGUAGGGGUAGAGGGAAUUCCUUGUGGAGCGGUGAAAUGCACAGAGAUAAGGAAGAACACCGAAGGCGAAAGCACUCUACUGGCCAUGACUGACACUGAGAGAUGAAAGUCGGGGGAGCGAAAAGGAUUAGAUACCCUUGUAGUCCCGACUGUAAACGAUGGAUACUAAGUGCUGACAAAAUCAGUGCUGUAGCUAACGCGUUAAGUAUCCCGCCUGGGGAGUAUGCUCGCAAGAGUGAAACUCAAAGGAAUUGACGGGAAUUGGCACAAGCGGUGGAUU